UACGUAGGGGGCAAGCGUUGUCCGGAUUUAUUGGGCGUAAAGAGCGUGUAGGCGGCCAGACAGGUCAGCUGUGAAAACUCGAGGCUCAACCUCGAGACGUCGGUUGAAACCGUCUGGCUAGAGUCCGGAAGAGGAGAGUGGAAUUCCCGGUGUAGCGGUGAAAUGCGCAGAUAUCGGGAAGAACACCCGUGGCGAAGGCGGCUCUCUGGGACGGUACUGACGCUCAGACACGACAGCAUGGGGAGCGAACGGG
rnacentral:rRNA from 1 species